UAGAGAGUAUGAAACUCCCUUAAACCCGUGUGAACUUACCAUUGUUGCUUCGGCGGUCUUCGCCCCGGGCGCCGCUGUUGUGCCCCGGAUCCAGGCGCCGCCGGAGGUCCUUAACUCUUGUUUCUCUAAGCGGUAUUCUGAGUGGACUAUACAAAUGAAUCA
rnacentral:misc_RNA from 1 species